UGGCUUUGUCUGAGUCAGGCAGCCCAGCGUGUGGGAUGCCAGGCUGGAUGUGCUGGGCCUGACCAGCCGCCCGCUUUCCUCUUCUCUUGCCUCUGCCUGCCCCCUAGUGGACUGUAAAGAACCAAUACAGCACUGUGCUACUGAACAUGCUGCCACUAUAGAAGCCCCUUGUGUUUUGAAGAGUACAUCUCUAUAGCCUCAUCUGUCAUUGAUUGCCACGUGACAGUGUCUAUGAUGCUAAAAAGAUGCCAGUGCUGUGCUGCAGGAGCAAAGGCCGUGGAGGAAGAGGCUUUGGCUUUGUUGCGAGUUCUUGCCAGAGCCAGGCAAAGCCAGUCACCGCUUUGUUCAGAUGACUCAGAGUUUCCACAUUGCUGAUUCACAGAUAUGCAAGACUCAGG
rnacentral:lncRNA from 1 species